GCGCGUGUGGCUGGAAUAGUGAGUGGAGAGUGAUUAUAGAGCGCGAGCCUCCUGGUUGCCUCCGGCGCGUGCGUCCGCUUCAACCACAUCGUGUUCCUUCCAGUUUCACGUUCCAAGAACUCGAUCAGAGUAUAGAGCCUCCAGAGGAUGCUUUGGCUUCGGUGCAAAAAAGAGAAACUCGGCCAAUAGUUCGCUCCUUUGGAAUUCAACAAUUACAUGCUCCGAGUCUCCUUGUUGACACGAUUUUAUUCACCAAGACAACUUUUUUUUUUCCAUUUGUCGCGUCUGUAUUUUAUAGUUGAAUUUUUUAGUUCCAUCUUUUAAUUUUUUUUACACCGCGUCAAUGUUUUUAAAGAUCCCAUUAGUAACAACAUAAUAUAAGCGCAAUGAGGUAAUCGUAUGAAUAUGGCGUGAACCGCCGACAUGAUUUAGAAAUGCAGUUUGGAUGUCGAAAUAUCUGACACAUGUUUCAUGCUGCGACUGUGUCGGAAAGAUGCAAGUCGUGCACUCCGUGAUUCGACUAGCCAGGAACAUAUCACUGUCUGGUUAUUGAAUGCCUCUUCCAUCCAUGUCUUUUUAGUUCACGCUUAUAUAUAUACUCUGCGCGCCUUUUGUUAUUAACUCCAUACAGGAUAACGAUGCCUCAUCAAUCGCGCAAAAACUUAUUCUUGUUAUCUUAACUGAUGUGACUUUUAAAAGGAAAAACGAAGAAAUUUUUCUAAAUACCUGAGCAUAUUCGGCGCAAAUAUCAAUGGAUGAUACAUAAUUGACGACAUCUUCAAUGGUCCAACGAUUUACAGCUUGACCAUCGCCACAGGGCAUGUGACCACAUAAUGAAGG